rnacentral:rRNA from 1 species
UUUGUUUGGGGGGAGGAGAGGGGUUCUAAAGGGGAGGUGGGCGGCGGGUGGCGUGCCGGGGACGAGGACAUGCGGACCAGUGCGAGGCCGAGUUAGGCGGGGUAGCGGGCUGGGGACAAUGAGGGGCGGGCCGGUUCGAGGCCGGGCUAGACGGCGUGGCGUGCCGGGGACGAGGGGGGCGGGCCGGUACGAGACUGGAUUUAGGCGGGGUUGUCUGAGUGAGAAGUAGGGGUUGGUACCGCCGCACGCAGCUAGGUACCGACGCUGCCCGCCCCACAGGUACCGGUGCGGUCGGCCACACUACCUCAACGUGGUGUUCGCCGCUCUUGUGCCGCGACGGCCACCUGACAUCACUGGCGGCCUCUUGUGACUCCCACUCAUGAGCCCCUAGCUCGUGCUCCAGUAGGGCCCAGCAUCUCUCGGAAUUCCAAUAAGUUAAGUCGACCGUCGGACCGUACAGUGAAUUUCGUCUUUGUCUACCGUAAGGUAGAGGGUCGGUUUGAAUAACGUCGAACAUUAGACUCCUCAAUGUAUACUCUAAAGGAGACGAUGUGUUACGAUCCUAGACUUUGGUCGAUUACACUCCCGUGUAUGUAGCUACGCUCGAAUCUAAAAUACCGAGCCAUUCUCUCCUCCGACUACGUUUACUCUAUUUUGAAAACGCCGCAAUGUACCUUUCCUGUCCUCCGACGACGUUCCUAAUAACCGAGCCACCGCUUUACUUUCCUCUGGCCCGCUGACCGGUCCGCCGACGCGGGCGCUGCCACUGGAGGCGCAGGUCGUUGGCGGCCGCCCAGCCGCCCUCCAAAACCCGCGAGCGGCUAAGCCUGCUUCUUCUGCACCUGCUGCUACCCCUAGGAGGCCACCUGAGGGACGGAAGUGGCUGAGGAAGUCUAGAGUAAACGCUUAAAAAAGCAAGUCCAAUAUGGCUUCUACUCCACCGAUGCUGCUAACUAGCGCAAGACGGUAACCUCCUAGGCCGCGCUUAGCCAGAAGCGCGCCUGCUCUGCUGUCUCUACUAAGCUGCACAUCAUGUAUCCUCCUGCCGCCGUAGACGCUAAGCUGGAACCUUCCCAGGGUAUGGAUUCCAAUAAAAGGCUCGGUGCCGGCACUAGGCAAGUACCAGCGAUGAGUGAGGCUACCUCCGGUCCCUCGUAAACCAAUGACCUAGAUAGGCGACCCUCUACCAUCGAGCCCUAUAGAAGUUGGCCAAACCUACCGCCAGUACAUUAUCCUAUCCGUUAAUCAAAUGGAUAAAUAGAAAUCGGUCGGCCAACACCGCGGAAUAGAACCGAUCAGACACACAGGUCGGAGAAAUCGAGAUACACUCGACAGAAAAAUAAUGAAAAGUCAGCCUCUGAAACCUUGGAACAACCUUGGAAAAUAAAGCAAUUAUUCUACCGGCAUACGUAGUAAGACUACGUCUCCGGCCCCUCUAGGGGGAAAAACUUUUUUUUUU